rnacentral:rRNA from 1 species
AAUGAACGCUGGCGGCAGGCUUAAUACAUGCAAGUCGAGGGACAGCACAGGUAGCAAUACUGGGUGGUAACCGGCAAACGGGUGCGGAACACGUACACAACCUUCCCUUAAGUGGGGGAUAGCCCAGAGAAAUUUGGAUUAAUACCCCGUAAUAUAGUUGAAUGGCAUCAUUUGAUUAUUAUAGCUACGGCGCUUAAUGAUGGGUGUGCGGCUGAUUAGAUAGUUGGCGGGGUAACGGCCCACCAAGUCUACGAUCAGUAGCUGAUGUGAGGGCAUGAUCAGCCACACGGGCACUGAGACACGGGCCCGACUCCUACGGGAGGCAGCAGUAAGGAAUAUUGGUCAAUGGACGCAAGUCUGAACCAGCCAUGCCGCGUGAAGGAUUAAGGUCCUCUGGAUUGUAAACUUCUUUUAUUUGGGACGAAAAAGGGCCUUUCUAGGUCAACUGACGGUACCAGAUGAAUAAGCACCGGCUAACUCCGUGCCAGCCGCCGCCGUAAGAC